rnacentral:lncRNA from 7 species
UCUUCAGAUGAGGGACUGCUUCAGAAAGCUGCAUAGCAGCCUUUUGUAAUAGGGCUAAAAACCAGCACAGUCCUCCUGACCAGCUGCAUCCAUCAGUUUGAUAAGAAGUACUGAUGUUAACUAUGCACCCUGCACGCUUACAGCUAUUGGUAGUAGCACCUUUGGUGCAGCUCACUAACUUUACAGAGUGAAACAGAGCAUAAGCAACACGACCAGCACUGGCCAUAGAGCUGUGUGAAGGGAAGCUGUGCUGCUGGGAGCAAAGCUGAGCUGAGGAGCGAGGAGGCAGCAGGGCUGUGUGGGGGCUCUGUGCGGGAUAGCAUCCUGCCCAGUACUGCCCCAAGUCAGAAGAGUCGGCUCGGCGUUAAGAUACUUUCGGAGUUUGCAAAACAUGGUGGCCUCUCUAAGAAGAAAACACAAUGUAACACUGAGUUUUGUCUCCCUUGCACAGCUCCGGCAGCCUCAGCACCACCGGGCGGGGACGCGGCUGUGACAGUCCCGAGCAGCUGAGAACGGCCGUGCGGGGACGUGACUGUGCCGGAGAACUUACUCAUGAGGCUGAAAUUUCUGAUAUGGGAGGAGAAGAGGAGAGAGGCUGGUUUGGAGCAGAGGACCAGAGGGAUAUCAUGUCCGUGCUGGCUUUUCUCUGCAUCUGUCUGUGUUGCACUGUUGCUGUCAGUAAGCACAAGCUGGAAAUCACCUACAGAUUGUUUUAAUUUGCACCAAGGACAAAAACAUCCAUCCUCUAUUGAGCGGAGUGCUCCUAGUUUCCAGUUCUACAUUACUUCGUCAGCAGGAUCACAGCUGGGCCUAAAAGGCACUCUGCUCUGCCCUUGGCCGUGCUGCUGAUGUGUUGCAGGACAUAGAGCUGUUUGUGUUGGAGAGCCUGAGCAGCCCCAGUGAGUGUACCAAAGGUCACAGGUGGAGGGAAGUGGAAUUCUGGGCAGUUUUGAGGUGUUGAGGAGAACCUUGCAGUGCUCAACAAUUCCUGAGCAACCUGCUGUAAAUCUUCUUGUAGCCAGUUCAGCCUUUGGAAGGAGUCAGAAGAGAUUUGUGGAGCUUGGCAGCGGUGUUGUUCCUGAGGAAGACUGGAGGAAGAAAACUCAAAACCACCCUUAUGAGCAGCUCUUUAAAACGAAUGGCUAACUGAAGGAAGAAGCCUUGUGCACUUGCAGUGCCAUGAUGUUCUGCCAUCCAAAGGGGAAUUAAUUGCUGAGUGGCAUGGAAAACACACAGCACAGACAGCAGGCAUGGUCCAGACCUCAAGGGACUAGUCAUGGUCUUAAAGGCUAAGAAAAUAAUCUGAGGUGCAUUGGAGAGAAAGUGUCUUAGUAAUGCUCCAUACAUAAUGCUGGUGUUCCCAGAGUUAGUGGCGUAUCUCCAAUAUUUGUCCAUUAAAACAUGGAGACAU